CCAGACUCCUACGGGAGGCAGCAGUGGGGAAUAUUGCACAAUGGGGGAAACCCUGAUGCAGCAACGCCGCGUGAAGGAAGACGGUUUUCGGAUUGUAAACUUCUGUUCUUAGUGAAGAAGAAUGACGGUAGCUAAGGAGCAAGCCACGGCUAACUACGUGCCAGCAGCCGCGGUAAUACGUAGGUGGCGAGCGUUGUCCGGAAUUACUGGGUGUAAAGGGAGUGUAGGCGGGAAGGCAAGUCAGAAGUGAAAAUUAUGGGCUCAACCCACAACCUGCUUUUGAAACUGUUUUUCUUGAGUGAAGCAGAGGCAAGCGGAAUUCCUAGUGUAGCGGUGAAAUGCGUAGAUAUUAGGAGGAACACCAGUGGCGAAGGCGGCUUGCUGGGCUUUUACUGACGCUGAGGCUCGAAAGCGUGGGGAGCAAACAGGAUUAGAUACCCUGGUA
rnacentral:rRNA from 1 species